rnacentral:rRNA from 1 species
GACGAACCGUGCGAACGUUGUUCGGAUUCACUGGGCUUAAAGGGCGCGUAGGCGGCUUGCCAAGUCAGGGGUGAAAUCUUUCGGCUCAACCGGAAAAGUGCUUCUGAUACUGGCGGGCUGGAGGGAGGUAGGGGCAGAUGGAACUUCCGGUGGAGCGGUGAAAUGCGUAGAUAUCGUCAAGAACACCGAUAGCGAAGGCAGCUUACUGGGCUGUAACUGACGCUGAGGCACGAAAGUGUGGGGAUCAAACAGG